rnacentral:rRNA from 1 species
UGGGGGAAAAUUAAUAUAAUAAAAUAAAUAAUAAAAAUAAUUAUAAAAAAUAAUUAAUGGGGGUUAAAGUAUUUUUUAGAAAAAAUUUAUUAAUUUAUAGUUUAAUAGUAUUGUGAAAGAAUUUUGAAAUAAAGUUAAAUAUGGAUUAUUAUUUAAGUAAAUUUAAUUUAUUGUAUCUUGUGUAUCAGAGUUUAUUAAUAAAAUAUUUUUAAAUAAAAAUAUCUCGAAUUUAAAAGAGAUAGUUAAUUAUUAAAGUUAAUGUGACAUAAUUAUUUUAAAUAAUUAAUUUGAAAUGAAAUGUUAAUCGUUUUUAAAAAUAUCUAGUUUUUUUAGAAAAAAAUUUAAUUUUAAAUUAAUUUAAUAAUUUUUUAAAUUUGUUGUAUAAAAUUAUAUAUUUAAUUAAAUAUUUUAGGGGAUAAGCUUUAAAUUAAAUUUUUAUAAUUUUAAUAAACUAUUUAAAUAUUUUAAAAUUUAUAUUUUUUAUAAAUUAUAAUUUUUUAUAAAUAAUUUUAUCUAUUUUAAAAUUUAAAUUUAUAUUUAAAUUUAUAUAAAAAAAUAAUUUUUAAUAAUAAAAAAUUAGUUAUAAUGAUAAAAUUAGUAUAUAAAAAAAAAUAAAAUAAAAUUAAUUAAAAUUAAUAAAAAGGAAUUCGGCAAAAAU